GAUAAAACCAACACCAUGCUUGCAGCAAUGUUUCAGAAAAUUAAAAUAAAACAAUAAAUGACAUUCUCAGUCUUGUUUAAAGCACACUGACCAAUUUCGUUUGUUUUGUUUUUUACAAUCAUGUUACAGAAAAAGGGAAGAUACAGCUUGGGUGCAGGAGCCAGGAGUUCCAGGCAUGGAACUCAGGAAUGGGGUUGGGUGCACAGACCGAAGACCUCUGUGAGGAGUGGGGAGGCAGACCAGGAACAACCACUGCUCACACCCUCAGCUGGAGGCACCAGAGUCCAGAUGAGGAAGCUGAGGCAAAGAGCACAGAAAGGCCUUGCAGCUUGAUCAAGAUCAUGUACAUGUGUUCUUCCUUGGAUUAAAGGACUAGGAGAAAACCCUGCAACCCUGUGAGUCCGCCCGUUUGUUGAAAUCAGUUCAAGAUCAUCCAGGUCUGCAAAACUCGGCUGAAGCAGCUUGUUGCAUAAUUUACCAGAGAAGAGAGGGCCAUCUGGAGAGCCAAUCUGGAGAACUCGAGCAAAGGCAGAGUCUUUUUUUUUCUCCCCCUCUUAAGUUAUCCUUAUUGACUCUCUGCCUAUAUUAGGCCUCCGCACUCCUUGGCCUGCAUUAUGAAAG
ensembl:lncRNA